rnacentral:rRNA from 1 species
AUUGAACGCUGGCGGAAUGCUUUACACAUGCAAGUCGAACGGCAGCACGGACUUCGGUCUGGUGGCGAGUGGCGAACGGGUGAGUAACAUAUCGGAACGUAUCCAAUAAUGGGGGGAUAACUAAUCGAAAGGUUGGCUAAUACCGCAUACGCCCUGAGGGGGAAAGCUAGGGAUCGUCAAGACCUGGCGUUAAUGGAGCGGCCGAUAUCUGAUUAGCUAGUUGGUGGGGUAAAGCCCACCAAGGCGACGAUCAGUAGCUGGUCUGAGAGGACGACCAGCCACACUGGAACUGAGACACGGUCCAGACUCCUACGGGAGGCAGCAGUGGGGAAUUUGGACAAUGGGCGCAAGCCUGAUCCAGCCAUUCCGCGUGAGUGAAGAAGGCCUGGUUCGGU